CAGUCGCCGCGGGAAUACGUAGGUGGCAAGCGUUGUCCGGAAUUAUUGGGCGUAAAGCGCGCGCAGGUGGUUUAAUAAGUCUGAUGUGAAAGCCCACAGCUCAACCGUGGAGGGUCAUUGGAAACUGUUAAACUUGAGUGCAGGAGAGAAAAGUGGAAUUCCUAGUGUAGCGGUGAAAUGCGUAGAGAUUAGGAGGAACACCAGUGGCGAAGGCGGCUUUUUGGCCUGUAACUGACACUGAGGCGCGAAAGCGUGGGGAGCAAACAGGAUUAGAUACCCCCGUAGUCCCUGUCUCUUAUAC
rnacentral:rRNA from 1 species